GCGCGUCCUACCAUGCAGUCGAGCGAUUCUCUUAGGAGAAGAGCGGCGGACGGGUGAGUAACGCGUGGGUAACCUGCCCUGNUACACACGGAUAACAUACCGAAAGGUAUGCUAAUACGGGAUAACAUAUUUUGAUGGCAUCAUCGAAAUAUCAAAGCUCCGGCGGUACAGGAUGGACCCGCGUCUGAUUAGCUAGUUGGUGAGGUAAUGGCUCACCAAGGCGACGAUCAGUAGCCGACCUGAGAGGGUGAUCGGCCACAUUGGAACUGAGACACGGUCCAAACUCCUGCGGGAGGCAGCAGUGGGGAAUAUUGCACAAUGGGCGAAAGCCUGAUGCAGCAACGCCGCGUGAGCGAUGAAGGCCUUCGGGUCGUAAAGCUCUGUCCUCAAGGAAGAUAAUGACGGUACUUGAGGAGGAAGCCCCGGCUAACUACGUGCCAGCAGCCGCGGUAAUACGUAGGGGGCUAGCGUUAUCCGGAAUUACUGGGCGUAAAGGGUGCGUAGGUGGUUUUUUAAGUCAGAAGUGAAAGGCUACGGCUCAACCGUAGUAAGCUUUUGAAACUGAGAAACUUGAGUGCAGGAGAGGAGAGUAGAAUUCCUAGUGUAGCGGUGAAAUGCGUAGAUAUUAGGAGGAAUACCAGUUGCGAAGGCGGCUCUCUGGACUGUAACUGACACUGAGGCACGAAAGCGUGGGGAGCAAACAGGAUUAGAUACCCUGGUA
rnacentral:rRNA from 1 species